UGGGGAAUAUUGGGCAAUGGGCGCAAGCCUGACCCAGCAACGCCGCGUGAAGGAAGAAGGCUUUCGGGUUGUAAACUUCUUUUAAGAGGGAAGAGCAGAAGACGGUACCUCUUGAAUAAGCCACGGCUAACUACGUGCCAGCAGCCGCGGUAAUACGUAGGUGGCAAGCGUUGUCCGGAUUUACUGGGUGUAAAGGGCGUGCAGCCGGGAAGACAAGUCAGAUGUGAAAACCACGGGCUCAACCUGUGGCCUGCAUUUGAAACUGUUUUUCUUGAGUACUGGAGAGGCAGACGGAAUUCCUAGUGUAGCGGUGAAAUGCGUAGAUAUUAGGAGGAACACCAGUGGCGAAGGCGGCUUACUGGACGGUAACUGACGUUGAGGCUCGAAAGCGUGGGGAGCAAACAGGAUUAGAUACCC
rnacentral:rRNA from 1 species